rnacentral:miRNA from 2 species
GAAUCCGGUCCGUACAAACUCUGCAGUGUUGAAUGAUUGGUGAGUUUGUUUGCUCAUUGAUUGAAUCACUGCAGAGUUUGUACGGACCGGAUUC